rnacentral:rRNA from 1 species
UACAGAGGUCUCAAGCGUUGUUCGGAUUCAUUGGGCGUAAAGGGUGCGUAGGCGGUGGGGUAAGUCGGAUGUGAAAUCCCGGGGCUCAACCCCGGAACUGCAUUCGAUACUGCCUUGCUCGAGUACUGGAGAGGAGACUGGAAUUUACGGUGUAGCAGUGAAAUGCGUGGAUAUCGUAAGGAAGACCAGUGGCGAAGGCGAGUCUCUGGACAGUUACUGACACUGAGGCACGAAGGCCAGGGGAGCAAACGGG